GGGAGGAAAGCUUGCUUUCCUUGCUGACGACCGGCGCACGGGUGAGUAACGCGUAUCCAACCUGCCCCAUACCAGGGAAUAGCCUUUCGAAAGAAAGGAUAAUGCCCUAUGUACUCCCAAGCGGACAUCUAACUGGGAGCAAAGAUUCAUCGGUAUGGGAUGGGGAUGCGUCUGAUUAGGUUGUUGGCGGGGUAACGGCCCACCAAGCCACCGAUCAGUAGGGGUUCUGAGAGGAAGGUCCCCCACAUUGGAACUGAGACACGGUCCAAACUCCUACGGGAGGCAGCAGUGAGGAAUAUUGGUCAAUGGGCGGGAGCCUGAACCAGCCAAGUAGCGUGAGGGACGACGGCCCUAUGGGCUGUAAACCUCUUUUAUCAGGAGAUAAAGUGCGUGACGCGUCAUGCAUUGCAGGUACCUGAGGAAUAAGGACCGGCUAAUUCCGUGCCAGCAGACGAGGUAAUACGGAAGGUCCGGGCGUUAUCCGGAUUUAUUGGGUCUAAAAGGGAGCGUAGCCGCCCCGUAAGCGAGCAGUGAAAUGUAGAGGCUCAACCUCUGCACUGCUGUUCGAACUGCAGGGCUUGAGUACGCACGAGGUAGGCGGAAUUCGUGGUGUAGCGGUGAAAUGCUUAGAUAUCACGAAGAACCCCGAUUGCGAAGGCAGCUUACCGGAGCGCAACUGACGCUGAAGCUCGAAAGUGCGGGUAUCGAACAGGAUUAGAUACCCUGGUAGUCCGCACGGUAAACGAUGGAUGCCCGCUGUUGGGACGUUACGUCCCAGUGGCCAAGCGAAAGCAUUAAGCAUCCCACCUGGGGAGUACGCCGGCAACGGUGAAACUCAAAGGAAUCGACGGGGGCCCGCACAAGCGGAGGAACAUGUGGUUUAAUUCGAUGAUACGCGAGGAACCUUACCCGGGCUUGAAUUGCAGACGAACGCGAUAGAGAUAUCAAGGCCCUUCGGGGCGUCUGUGAAGGUGCUGCAUGGUUGUCGUCAGCUCGUGCCGUGAGGUGUCGGCUUAAGUGCCAUAACGAGCGCAACCCCUCUCCUUAGUUGCCAUCAGGCCAUGCUGGGCACUCUGGGGACACUGCCACCGUAAGGUGCGAGGAAGGUGGGGAUGACGUCAAAUCAGCACGGCCCUUACGUCCGGGGCUACACACGUGUUACAAUGGGGCAUACAGCGCGUCGGCCGCCGGCAACGUCGGUCCAAUCGUGAAAGUGUCCCCCAGUACGGACUGGGGUCUGCAACCCGACCCCACGAAGCUGGAUUCGCUAGUAAUCGCGCAUCAGCCAUGGCGCGGUGAAUACGUUCCCGGGCCUUGUACACACCGCCCGUCAAGCCAUGAAAGCCGGGGGCGC
rnacentral:rRNA from 1 species